rnacentral:lncRNA from 1 species
AGGAAUAUAACUUUCUUCACGCCAAUUAACAUUCCAACAAUUCUGGAACUCUUUGAAAUGAGAAGGCUAUUGAAGGAGUACACUAUUCAAAAGUUACAAGAAUCAAAGCAUGGAGCUCAACAAUUUUGAUUUCCCCAGAACCAACCAACUGCCCUGAGAUUUUUGAGAUUUAUAGAGGCAGCAUAUCUAGUCUUCACAUUAGCAACAUGGCAGCAGAAUCAAAGUCCCCUUUCCCUCAUGAAAUGCAAAAUCAAAGUCUAACAUGACGGAAAGAUGUUCUAUACGAGCGGGACCAGCAGUAACUGAUCCCAUUGGUCAAGAUACUGCAAGUGUUAAGAGCAGAGGGAAUGGCAAACUCUUAGCAUGUCAAAGUCCCCUCUGAUACUGCUGCAUGAACUGGUAUACAGAAUUCAGGGAAGUAUGGCUGAGAGGAAGUUGGAGAGAUCAAAAUAAAUGUUCUUUAUGUUUGUCCAAAGGCUCCUCCACCUUCUAGAUAAAACGUGUUUUCACUGCUUCCCUUGUACUCAGCAAAGAAAUGAUGGUUACAAUAAGACUAUCAGGCAAAUUACUGAUAUGAUCCUCCAACUUGAUCACCUCUAAGCAGUAUGAUAAAGUAAGAUCAGCGACAUUGCAGGAUGGUAGAUAGAAGUUUAAACCAGCAGAGCAUCCAGUAUGGGUCGAGGUAACAAUGAAAUCUUAGCAACUAUGCUUCACUUCCCCCACUCAGUGGGAUAAACCUCUCCAGCCCAGAAGCUUUCAUUAAUAGCCUGGUCCUAUGC